GAUAACUAGUGAGAUGACUAAUCAUGUUUGAUCGUUUAAAAUCUUAGGACGGUCUCAAAAGAUUAUAAUUUCGACUUUUAUGAUGUAAAACCACCAUGAAUGAGUGAGCCAAAUACAGGCCGAGAUAUCGGUGAUUAGGCUCUGAAGAUGUGCUCAAAAAAAUAUUAUUCACAAAUUAUAUGGUGUGUCAUACAAGUAAUCAUGAUUGUGUCUAUAUUAUAAUAAUAACUGUAUGAACAGUUCAUAUGAUCUAUUUUCAAAUUUUAAAAGGCUUUUUUUUUGUAUUGUAACUUUGAGAAUCCAUUUUUCACAAAUUUUAAAAAGAUGUUAUUAUUUUUAAUUCCAACAAAAAAUCUAAUUGUGGUUAAAGUCUCACAAAAGUCUACGUCCAAAUUUAAGCCCAAUUAAGUCAAGUUGACGGAGAAUUGACUUUAAACGAUGUUACAUGAAGAGAGUAUCGGACGGGUGAGAUUAUUUGAAUUCAAAAACAUUUAAUGAAGAGUUUUAUGACCGUUCCAGGUUAGGAUCCAAAAAGAUUUGUAGACCGUUAAGAUUAUUUUCUCAGGUUUAAUUUCUAUCAGUUUCGUCUUCGUCAUGAAUUUGAUUUUUGUUUCCCUUUUUUUUUUGUUCGGUGUUAUCAAGAAGAAAUCGCAAUCCUCGACUCUGGUUUCUAUCAAAUUUGUUCUGUUUCUUGUUCUAAUUUUGAUUUUUGGUAUCGACGAGGAUUAGAUUCAUUAGGGUUUAUUCAUUAGGGUUCAAUUUUGUUUUGAGAGAUCAUUAACGAUCGCGAGACUGUACGAUCAAGGGGGUUUUGAUUGGAUGGUCGUAUCAUCACCGACGGUGGUGAUGGCGGUGGAUACGGUGACGGUGGUGGCUGGCCGUGAGGGAUGAAGUUACGGAGGAAGCGGUGGUCGUGGCUGGUAAUUGAAAUAAAAAGAAGAAGAAGAAGAAGAAGAAGAUUCAGGAGGCGUAGAUGUUUCCAAUCCACGAGAUAUCGUUGAAUAUUCACAAUUAUUUCCAUGCUUUGUUGUUUACUUACUUGCUUUCUCUAUUUUUUAAUUGCUUUUUUGCUUACUGAUUUGAUUCCUACGAACGUGUAUUAGUCCGAAUACUAAUCGUUUAAUUUCUAAAACCUAUAAGCUGUGGCAAAAGUUGCUGGAAGAACUUGUAUCAUGGACUAAACAAGAAAAUCAGCCAGUCACGAACCCACUUCUUAUAAAACUUGAGAGAUGAAGUUCGAGAAAAAAAGAACAAAAUCUGGAGCAAGAAACAUACUUGGGUAUUGAUUUGAGUGGUUCUGAACUUGUAUAGUAUAUCGCAAUGGAGCUCUGAAAUGGUUGUACGUCAUCUUCUUGUUUCUUAAGUUGACUCCUUCUCCCAAGGGAUUCUUUCAGGUUCUUAUAAUUUAAGAAAGCUAGUUGUGUCAGCUGAAGCACAACAUUCUGCAUUGAAAUUCAGUUGCAGGUGAUUUUUGUAAGAACGUCGGACAUGGAGAAUCUGUUACAAAUGGUUCCCGACGGAGAACCCUUCAGGUUCAAGAGAUGGUCUCACGCCUCAACACUUCUGAAGUAAAAGAAGCAGGACCUUUCGCCCUAGCAUGGUCUGUAUUUCUGUACAUAUAAAGUUAAAACUUUCUACAAGUUCAAGAGAUGGUCUCAAGCCUCAACACUUCUGAAGCAGGACCUUUCGCCGUAGCAUGGACAGUAUUUCUGUGUCUUGUUUCAUCACUUCCUAAUUGAAAAGUCCUUUCCUUAUGGUAUGAAAGUGAGAAUAUUUCCACUAUCUUACUUGAUGUGUUUAAUCUUAAUUGAUUACCAGGAGAUUGAUCACGUGAGCUAUGUUCAUCAAGCUUUUGAGGCAGCAUCCUUUUGAGCUAUUUCCUUGAAAUCCUUCAAAAUAGUGUGUUGAAUGACUUCGAUGCACCAGUCUCUGGUUAUCGGAGUGUCUUGAGGACUUUUUCUUUCCAGCUUUUGUUGCGUCUUAUGAGAUCAAUCUUCAGCUGAAAGAUACAUGGAGCAUCAACUGAAUUCCUCCAAAGAAACUGAUCAGAUUGGGAAGAGAUGAAUUGGUAAGCAGACUCAGAGCAAAACGACUAGCGGACUUCUGCCUCGAGAUAUUCAUGUGUGCAUACAUACAUGCAUCCAUACAUCCAUACAUCCAUACAUGCAU